CCAAGAAUUAUAUGGAACACAACAACGAGGAAAAACGCCAUUUCGAGAUUUCUCCAGAUGGAACCGAUCACAUUUGACAUGAAGGAUGCCCAAGGCUCGACCAAACAUCAUCUGGUGUUCGUAUUAAAAUAAUCGUGGACUAACAUUCCGGAACAGAAUUUCAAUCCGCAAUUGGAGCAAGUCAUCAACAACGACCAUUCGUCCAUUUCCAGUCUUCCGCUCAGCCGAGAGCUUUUUUUCAUCAAAUAAUACCCUUGGAUUCUUGAAGAUAUCGUGGUAUAGCCCUAAACAUAUUUUGAAGGCUCCUUUUAUUAAAAAAAAAGAAGUCUUACUGUAUAUUGUAAUGCGAUGCCCACAUGCCAUAAACCAACCCUGCCAGCCAACUGGCAGGAUCGAGAAACACGACCGGUUGCUUUCCCAGUGCGAUACCCGAAGCAAGACGAAAACAGUUAAAGCUAUCCAGCCUAUUUGGAGCAUUACUCGGUCGUCCAGCUGACCCAGAAAACGGCCAAGAAGAAGAGGAAAUUGAGCAGCGAUCUCCGCUCGAGUUGGAAACUUCGCGAAGCCGUCGGCAGUGCUGACGAGGACAGCGACGAAACGGCCACUUCGCUGAACUGUCAGACGUGUGGAUCACGCCACUUACGCCCGGUAGCCGUUUCCAGAGUACGUAUCUCAUUUGGAAGAAGCUGAAGUGCAAGAACGAUUAAAUAAUCGUAGUUUACCAGUGUCGUUGUGGAUUCACAUUUUAAAACCACUGUUGAAGAUUUGAAGAUGGUCUGGGACUCUGGGUGCGUUGGACUGAAAUAAGCCGCGGAUUUUUAUUUACUCUUCUGUUCAGUACGUUUCUCACCUUAUUUUGUUUUUUAAUCAAGAAUGUAAAAUUUAUCGUGACUGAUCCUGAACAAAGAAUAAAAGUUUUUGGCG